GUUGGAAUUUUAAACCAACUGAUUUGUCUACCCCUUUUUAGGUUAACGUUAUACUUUCGCCGUUAAUCAGCAUAUUAUAAAGCUGAAUUUCACACUAGUAUCGUGGUGUGCCAUAUAAAAUUUUGGUAAUUGAUAAGAAUAACUAUGUAGUAACCAGUGUUUAAAAUAUCAAUAUAGAUAGGUGAGAAUAUCGAUAUCAAUUGCUUUCGAUGAAAAUUAUGGAAAUGUGCAAUGGGAUGGGCAUACAGAUUCAUUCAGAUUUAAUCAAAAUUAGAGAAAAAAAAUUUCAACAAAAUUUCAAAUGUUUGAAAUCUGCAAUUGAUUUUGGCAAAGUUUCUAUAAUGAAUUGGUAAUAUUGUCGAUAUUCAUUGAUUUUCUCGCUAAUAUAGGUUGAAGUUGCAUCCCACCACCAUUCCAUAUCGAUCCUUGAUUUUUCAACAAAAAUUGUACAUAUUCAUAAUUUUAUGAAUCUCUUUAGAGAACUUAUGUUCUAGUUUACGUUGUAGGAUUCACUUGACUUUUGACCAAAAUUUAUACUUCAAAUUGUAGAUAAUAGUAAGACCGUCUCCCACCUGUUAUGCUAAAACCCAAAAUUUGACUCUUAGCACCAUGCUAAAACUUGGUGGAUUCCACAAAUUGGUUAAAGAAGUGCGUGACAUCACAAAUGCAUACCAAAAUUCAACACUUCUAACACUCUUAGGUGAGAGAUGGUCGUCUAAUUCAUGAGAAAUUCUAUUAUCUGACAAUCAGACUACAACCUAGAGGAAAAGAGGCAUGAUUUUUUAUCUGUUGUCGUAUUUUUCAAGCGAUCCAAGUUUCAGAUGUAAUCAUUUCUCAUAACUUAGAUAAUGGGACUGCAUAAUUAGCAAACAGUUGGUAUGGAAAAUUAUGACAGGUAAAACGGAUUAAACUUAGCAAACAACUCCUUCCCAAUUUCGCAGGGAUGUUUGAAAUGUUGAGGACAAAAACAGAGAGUUUCCAAUCCCUUGGACUCCAAGCACACUCUAGAAUUUGGGUCAACAUCUGGGUAAACACUUCUUUGGACCUCCCCACUAGACAUAUUGAACCAUUUUUCCACACGAGUUGGUCACGGGUUGAUGACUUAACACUUAAGUUCUCUUAAUCUUCCACUCAAGAUAAUGGAGAUUCGUUGUGACGAAAUCAUUACUUAUCCAAUCAUUAUAUAUGAUAAUUUUUUGGACAUUGUUAUAGAGAUUAAAUUUUUGAACUAAAUUAUAUAAACCGGACGAUGUUAUUGUUGAUUACUAAAUUAUCAUUUAAAUAUUAAUUAACGUUCUUAUUUUCUAUUGAUGACACAUAAUUUAAUUCACAAAUUUAAUUUAAAAUUUUGUUCUCAGUAACUUUACCCAUCCAACUAUUAUUAUUUAAGCCAAUCAAUAUUCUAGAAGGUGGAACUCACGUGUCCCAUGACAAAAAUACUUGUAAAAAUAUCAUCAUAAAGGAUAGAGGAUAGUGUGACAACUAUUUAUGUCGCGCAUGGAGUCGGGGUAGUUCAUGGUUUAGCAGUUAUCCACGGUUUUUUGCUGGCUACAUGUGAAAAAGUUUUAAGGGUCAACAAAGGCGGCAUCACGCUGCCGUGCUUCACCAAUAUUCUCCAUUUGUUUGAUAAGAUAGCGGCGAUUAGAGGUGGCAAUUGCACCAAAUUUGAUUACACAAGAUAGGGCGACGCUGGUACCAGGUGUGGUGGCAUCUCUCUCGAUCCUAUUUAUUUUUGUCUCUAUUUUUCUGAUGUUGCGGAGUCAUUUCUCUGCUUGUUGUUUGGCUUUGUGCCUUUCUUUUCUAUGAAGUUUUCCCUUUAUCAAAAAAAAAAAAGGAAAAUUUUAUUUAAAUCCAAGUAACCUCUUUUUACAUUUAAUUUAAAAUUUUAAAUGUUAAUUAUCUAUUUUACCUUAUUGCAUAAUUACUAUUAAGUACAAAAUGAAAUUAAUAAUAAAACUUAAAUUUAUCAAUAAACCCAAACACUAUAAUUAAACCUUACAACCACUCUUUGUUUAUCCUACUUUCAUUCCGGCUAAAACCUUAAUAACUUUCAUAGGGAAAAAUAAGUUUCUUUAUUGAUGUAUGGUGAUUUUGAAGUUUU
rnacentral:lncRNA from 1 species